UUUUCUUAUCGACGACUCUUUUUUAUUGUGCCAUAGAAUUUGCAAAGGUUUCCUUUUCAAACUAUAAGGAUUUCAUUUAUAAUUCUGCCUCUUUACGGCCAUAACUUUGUUCAUGAAUCCCUAUAAUUGAUUUAGAAAUGAAGACAUUAUGUACUAAUGGGAAUAUAUGAAGGUUUGAACUUAUUAUCAGAUGAUUUGUUCUCUUUAUAUGCAUGAUGACAUACGUGUCUUUGCUUUAAAAGUAUGUGUUAUAUUUCCCUAUAAAUGAAUUUGACUGCACUUAUGGAAUUCAAGUCUCUCAUUAUGUACACCAUUGAAUUUCAUAUUGUUUAUCUAGAUAAUUUCAUAUUGUACAUCACUACACUAGUACCAGAACAUGUUAUUGUCCAAAAACAAAAAGUUUAAAACUAUACGUUUUAGAAUAACUGAACAACAGAAAGUUGAAGAAAAUAAUAUGUGGCCAAACAAAUUCCAGAGAAAUUCUAAUUAGAUACUUGUGGAAAAUGUAUUUAUUUUUAAAUUAAUUACCAAACUAGCUAAAUGAAGGAGUUGUUAGGGUGCUGGGAGUUACAAGGCCUGUCAAAGAGUGCUAGCGGCCUGUGGGUGUGCAUUCUGGCUGCUGUGAUUUACUGUUUGGGCAAAAAUGGCUCUUUCACAUUAUUUUCAAAGAUCCAAAAGAGCUGAUUGCCAUUUCCUAUGGAAAGAUCUCUGUGGUCUUGGUUGUAAAGGGAAUUCAGGUCUCUCAGCUAGGGGCUAGGCUGAACUCUAGGAACUUCUGGCAAUUGUAAUGUUGUUUCGAUCUAGCUGUUCCUUUUCUGAGUGAUGUUCCUUGGGGGCAUCCUAUUGUACGUUUAUUACUAAAUUAAUAAAAUCACCUUACUUUUCAAGAGAAAAAAACUAACUAAUGAUUGAUUACUAUGAUGACAAGAAUGGAAGAAGGACUUGGUAAAAUGUACCUCAAAUACAUGUGUCAGCAUCUAUUAUAAUGUAUAAUUUUUAUUGAUUUGAAUAUACUUUGAAGCAAUUUGAAAAAUUUUUCAUUUCUUUUUUGCAUUUUUAUUUGAGUCAAAUGGUAGGACUUGAUGAACAGACUACUGAACCUUGACCAAGUGACCAAAAUUAUUUUGUGUCCAAUAUGAGUUUCACAGCAUUGACACACAGUAUUGGACAAAAGCAAUGACAAAAUAGAUGAAAAUAGUCAAAUUGGUAUUGGUUUAGAAUAUUACAAGUAUGUCAAACACCCUAAGAAGUUUAAGCUGGCCUCAGCCACCUCCAAUCCCUUGUUACAUGUAUUCCUUCCACAUUGAAGAAAUACAUUCAUGUAGUUGUAGCAGAAAAAUCAUGUGGAAACCAUUUUAAGGGAGAGAGGUACCCUGUAAAAGUAACUCCCAACCUCUCCCCUAAGCAAGCUAUUUCCCAAUAAACAAGAUGAUCUUGGGAUCCAUCUAAAUAUGAUUUUCAAUCUGGAUGUCAAAGACCUAGGGGCCAUUUGAUAACAACUGACAUGGCUGAAAUGAAUGGCUUCUUUGAUUCCCUCUUUUCAUAAAAUCACCAUUUAUCAAAAAAAAGGAAGAGCUGGAUAGCAUGUUGAGUUCAUUUCUAUAUCUUAUGACUAUUUAUCCACUAAAACACAGAACAACAAUAAUUCAAUUCAGCCAUUGUGUUUGUUAUCAAACGACCCCCUGGCCUCUAUGAUGAGAUGAUAUAGGAGCCAUGUGCCAACAUGCAGUUUCCUUUGCAAUCCAAUUAAUAAUCACAUUGAUGCCCUAAUCAAUAACCACUUACUGAUCUCAAGUUGAGUGUCUAAAGUAUUAACAGGCUCUCUAUCAUGGUUGAAUCCUCAAAUCCAAUGGGUCUAUAGGAGGUCUUACAAUAAAUGGAAUUGGCAAAGUAUUAGCAAGUUCCUGUACUUGGAAUCAAUCAAUGUGGUGGGGUCCCCCUCCCCAAGAUGCAAUCAAGUUAAACUUAGAUGGAUGUUCUAUUCAGAUACCAGGUGCUCCAAUUUCUAAGGCAUACACGAGGUGACCAUUCAAGAUGCUCAAGCACGCACUCACACUUUAAAUCGGUACAAUGCAAUGUGGAACAAGCUCAUACCAGAAAGUUCAACUAUUGACAAGUAAUCUGCUUCCAAGCUCUUGAAUGUAUCAGAGAAAGAGCAGUUUUACCGCCAGGUUGCGUCAACAGCUGAAUCUGGAUGGGACUUUAGUACUAGAUGGAUGAGGUAAUUUAGCAGUGAGAAAGAGAAAAUGCGUAGGUUUUUGGCUCUUUUGACAUCAUACCGUGGUUGCUGAUAGCUUAGCUAGUUAGCUAUAACACUUUAGUUUGGAGAGGAAAUGAUACCUGUGCUGGUCAUUAUGUUGUGACGCAAGAGUACCAUAGUGGCUACGAGCCUGGCAAGAUGCUAUUGCCUAUUAAGUUCAAUACAAGAGUCGGUUGAUCAAUUGGAAAUGGAGCCUGAAUCAGCUGUCUACUAUGCUGUGGACUGGAUUGUAUUCCUAGAGAUGAUUGUGUAUUUAUACAAACUGGGUGUUCCAAUGUUCAUAUUCAUCACAUCAACUGUGACAUGGUAUUAGGUAUAAUUUACGGGGAUUUGAAACCCAAAAAUAUCCUACUCCAGAGCAAUGGGCAUGUAACAUUAAUAGAUUUUGAUCUGUCACGUUUGACAUCUUGCAAACCUCAUCAUAUGGUGUCUUUUGGUCUAUGCUGUUGUAUUUUUCUAGUCUCUUCAAUCAUACUGCAUAAUGAAUCCAUUUUCUUUCGAAUAAGAAAUUUUCUUGUACUCAGUUUUAAUGGGAUAUUUAUAAAUGCAGGGUUUGCAUCUGGACAACAUUCUUGUUGUUUUUUCCUUGCCAUAUUCAAUGCUUGCACUGUGAUCACUAGAUUUGGAAGAAUUGCUUGGGAAAAUUUUGGCAUGUUAAUAUAGAGUUGUACUAUGAGGGAAAUGCAUGAAUGGGCCCAUUUUAAUAUUUUGCUCUGGUUUGAUCAUUAUGUUAAAGUGGAUUUGAAUUGGAAGAUGUGCUAUAUUAUUUGACAAAUUGAUUUUUUUUUGAAGUCCUUGUAUUUUU